GUACUCACUUUGGCAGCACGUAUACUAAAAUUGGAACGAUACCAAGGAGAUUAGCAUGGCCCCCUUUGCAAGGAUGACAUGCAAAUUCAUGAAUUGUUCCAUAUUAAA